rnacentral:rRNA from 1 species
AUUGAACGCUGGCGGCAGGCCUAACACAUGCAAGUCGGGCGGAGCGGCGGAAGGGGGAGUAAUGCCUAGGAAUCAGCCUGGUAGUGGGGGAUAAAGUACGGAAACGGGGGAUAAUACCGCAUACUCUCAGAUGAGCCUAGGUCGGCUUAGCUAGUUGGUGGGGUAAAGGCCUACCAAGGCGACGAUCCGUAACUGGUCUGAGCGGAUGAUCAGUUACACUGGAACUGAGACACGGGCCAGACGCCUACGGUAGGCAGCAGGGGGGAAUAUUGGACAAUGGGCGAAAGCCGGAUCCAGCCAUGCCGCGUGUGUGAAGAAGGCCGUCGGGUUGUAAAGUACUUUCAGCGGGGAUGCGUUACCCGCCGAAGAAGCAACGGCUAACUCCGUGCCAGCAGCCGCGGUAAUAC